GGAGAACGUCCCGUUAGCGUCACCCCUUUAUCCGGUCUUUCACGACAGGCGAUUGGACGUGACGUCAAACUUGGGUAGACGACGUAGACGAAGAUGUAUCGAAGCAGAAGAUAAAAAGGAAGUUUCUAGGGCUGUCGAAAAACUUAACAACGCCGAUAACUUCAGACACGAUGGCCCAACGCUUGAUUAUCUUUUUGGUCUGCUUUUUCUUGGCAACCAUUUCGGUUAAAUCUAAUCCUGUCGUAGAUCCGACAAAGUUCGAGAAUUUACAGAAAUUAGUCGAGCUAGCCUUGAAGGCGGAAGGACCAGAUAAAUGUUUACUGGACAGUAACUUGAGAGAUGAUUGUGAGAGUUGUUCGAAAGUAACUAAGUCAGUUGUGGUCAAUACGUUUUGCUGUAAGGAAAAACUAGGAAUUAAAGAAUGGUGUAUGGAAUUUCUCAAUUACGCUUUACCGGAAUCGGCGCAAAGAUGAUAAAGAAGUUUAACGUAUAAAAAUAUAUUUAUAUUUGUAAUUAUUUAUUUUGAUCCAUUUGUACUUAUUUUAUCCAUCUGCCAAAAUGAUAGCUAAAAGCUAUAUUGUCCAGCUAUACAGGAUUUAAUCCACCAAGUUGAAAUAAGGUGACAGCUGCAAAAAAAAAAGAAAAAAAGAAAUGCAUUUAUUUAUAAAUGUCUUCCAAUUUUGAUACGAUCGUUUAUUCUCUAGCAAUUUAAUCCCGUGUAUGAUUUUUUUUUAUAUAAGAAAAUAUAUUUCUUUGAAAUAGAACUGUCUUUUUUCCUUCUAUAUUGUAAAUUCAUUAUAUUCAUCAUACAUUGGCAUUCCUUUCGUGUUUGGCAAACAAUCAAACUGAAUAAUCGUGAUAUUUCUGGUUAGAUACAAACAAAGAAUCAUUUUAAAAUGUAUACAUUAUAUUCGUACGUAUUAAUUUUUAGACAAAGACUAAUUUUAAAAAAAAUCGCUUUCCUACCUUUGUAAUCAAUGUAUCAUCUCGUGUGUCAAUGAUUCAAGUAUUAUUGAUCAAUCCCUUUAAUCGAAAGAAUUUUAUCUGUAGAUAAUAAAUAAUCCUAUUAUUAUAAUCAUUCUUUCAUUAAGAGUGGACCUUAGAGAUAAUAACAUACUUAUCGAUAUUAAUAUUAAAUAAAUGACGGUCAUCAAUUUUUUUUUGUAGAUAAGAAAAGAACAAAUGACUUAUUUUAAUCUUGGAAUUACUAAUUUAAUCAAGGAAACACGAUAUAAUAAAAUCACGGAAACAAAGUUACUAUUUUUAAAAUCUGAUGCGCGA